GGAUGUGAGGGCGAUCUGGCUGCAACAUCUGUCACCCCAUUGAUCGCCAGGGUUGAUUCGGCUGAUCUGGCUGGCUAGGCGGGUGUCCCCUUCCUUCCUCACCGCUCCAUGUGCGUCCCUCCCGAAGCUGCACGCUCGAAGAGGACGACCUUCCCUGAAUAGAGGAGGACCGGUCUUCGGUCAAGGGUAUACGAGUAGCUGCGCUCCCCUGCUAGAACCUCCAAACAAACUCUCAAGAAUCAGAAACUAGCCUUGAAACUUACGGUUACUAAACAACAGUCAGUCCAUUUUCAUAUUCUGAAAAU
ensembl:misc_RNA 7SK 7SK RNA